rnacentral:rRNA from 1 species
GACUAUUGCCGGACCGCUGAGUAAUGUCUGGGAAACUGCCUGAUGGAGGGGGAUAACUACUGGAAACGGUAGCUAAUACCGCAUAAUGUCGCAAGACCAAAGAGGGGGACCUUCGGGCCUCUUGCCAUCAGAUGUGCCCAGAUGGGAUUAGCUAGUAGGUGGGGUAACGGCUCACCUAGGCGACGAUCCCUAGCUGGUCUGAGAGGAUGACCAGCCACACUGGAACUGAGACACGGUCCAGACUCCUACGGGAGGCAGCAGUGGGGAAUAUUGCACAAUGGGCGCAAGCCUGAUGCAGCCAUGCCGCGUGUAUGAAGAAGGCCUUCGGGUUGUAAAGUACUUUCAGCGGGGAGGAAGGUGUUGCGGUUAAUAACCGCAGCAAUUGACGUUACCCGCAGAAGAAGCACCGGCUAACUCCGUGCCAGCAGCCGCGGUAAUACGGAGGGUGCAAGCGUUAAUCGGAAUUACUGGGCGUAAAGCGCACGCAGGCGGUCUGUCAAGUCGGAUGUGAAAUCCCCGGGCUCAACCUGGGAACUGCAUUCGAAACUGGCAGGCUGGAGUCUUGUAGAGGGGGGUAGAAUUCCAGGUGUAGCGGUGAAAUGCGUAGAGAUCUGGAGGAAUACCGGUGGCGAAGGCGGCCCCCUGGACAAAGACUGACGCUCAGGUGCGAAAGCGUGGGGAGCAAACAGGAUUAGAUACCCUGGUAGUCCACGCCGUAAACGAUGUCGAUUUGGAGGUUGUGCCCUUGAGGCGUGGCUUCCGGAGCUAACGCGUUAAAUCGACCGCCUGGGGAGUACGGCCGCAAGGUUAAAACUCAAAUGAAUUGACGGGGGCCCGCACAAGCGGUGGAGCAUGUGGUUUAAUUCGAUGCAACGCGAAGAACCUUACCUGGUCUUGACAUCCACAGAACUUUCCAGAGAUGGAUUGGUGCCUUCGGGAACUGUGAAACAGGUGCUGCAUGGCUGUCGUCACCUCGUGUUGUGAAAUGUUGGGUUAAGUCCCGCAACGAGCGCAACCCUUAUCCUUUGUUGCCAGCGGUUCGGCCGGGAACUCAAAGGAAACUGCCAUUGAUAAACUGGAGGAAGGGGGGGGAAGACGUCAAGUCUUCUUC